CGGAGGGAGCUAGCGUUGUUCGGAAUUACUGGGCGUAAAGCGCACGUAGGCGGCUUUGUAAGUUAGAGGUGAAAGCCUGGAGCUCAACUCCAGAACUGCCUUUAAGCUGCAUCGCUUGAAUCCAGGAGAGGUGAGUGGAAUUCCGAGUGUAGAGGUGAAAUUCGUAGAUAUCGGAAGAACACCAGUGCGAAGGCGGCUCACUGGACUGGUAUUGACGCUGAGGUGACGAAAGCGUGGGGAGCAAACAGGAUU
rnacentral:rRNA from 1 species